rnacentral:RNase_P_RNA from 1 species
CGAGUGAAACAUGCAAUCGCUGCUAGCUUCGAGCUAGGAGAGGAAAGUCGGGGCUCCACAGGGCAGGGUGCUGGAUAACGUCCAGUCAAGGCGACUUGAAGGAUAGUGCAACAGAAAUAUACCGCCUAUUUUAUAGGUAAGGAUGGAAAGGCGAGGUAAGAGCUCACCAGCGUGAUGGCGACUUCACGGCUAUGUAAACCCCACUUGGAGCAAGACCGAAUAGAGAGGCAAUAUGGAGCGGCCCGUUCCGCCUCUGGGUGUGUCGCUAAAGCCUAUUGGUAACAGUAGGAUUAGAUAGAUGAUUGCUUAAUACAGAACCCCGCUUAUGGUUUAUCUCGCAUA